UUUAAAAAAAAAAAAAAGCAUGCCAGUCUUAUUUUUUACUUUAAAAGUCAUCAUAAUUAGCCUGCUCGGUAGUAUAUGCAGCCUGUUGAUUAUAUGGAUUGCCCUAAGGGACCUUAGAGACAGCC
rnacentral:snoRNA from 1 species